GAUGAAGAACGUAGCGAAAUGCGAUAAGUAAUGUGAAUUGCAGAAUUCAGUGAAUCAUCGAAUCUUUGAACGCACAUUGCGCCCGCCAGUAUUCUGGCGGGCAUGCCUGUUCGAGCGUCAUUACAACCCUCAGGCCCCCGGGCCUGGCGUUGGGGAUCGGCGGAGCCCCCCGUGGGCACACGCCGUCCCCCAAAUACAGUGGCGGUCCCGCCGCAGCUUCCAUCGCGUAGUAGCUAACACCUCGCGACUGGAGAGCGGCGCGGCCACGCCGUAAAACACCCAACACUUCUGAAGUUGACCUCGAAUCAGGUAGGAAUACCCGCUGAACUUAAGCAUAUCAAUAAGCGGAGGA
rnacentral:misc_RNA from 1 species